GCGAGCCCGAUAAACCCUCAGAAAAUCCAAAAAAAACGGCGGAGCUUCCAACACUCGAACCGCCCGCUCUCUCUCGAUCUCAUCGAUCCUGACCUCCUCGUCUCCCCCCGAUUUAACUACUCUCAUCCCUCCCCCUACCUUCGGAACCCAUCUUUCCCUCCCUUCCUUCCAAUCCUUCGAUAACUAUCGUCUCAUCCCCCACAGGGUUUGAUCCCAGGAUGGACUCGAUGAUCGCUUGCAAGUCGGGCUGCUUGCCUCCAGGGUUGUUCAUCAGACCUACCAGAGGAAUUAGGAGCUCUCAAUGCAGCUUUAUGGUGGGAAAUGAUCCAAAGUUUUGCAAGAUAAGCUUUCCAAGGAAAAGAACUGCUUGUGCGAUCCGGAAAUCCAAAAAAAAUGGAGGAGCACUGAAUGCAACUUGCUAUGAUGAGAAGAUUCUUGUGGCAAAUAGAGGGGAAAUUGCAGUCCGUGUGAUUCGAACUGCACAUGAGAUGGGGAUUCCCUGUGUUGCUGUGCACUCUACAAUAGAUCAGGAUGCUCUUCAUGUGCGGCUUGCAGAUGAGGCAGUGUGCAUUGGUGAAGCACCAAGCAGUCAAUCGUAUUUAUUUAUUCCAAAUGUUUUAUCAGCUGCUGUUAGCCGGGGGUGCACUAUGUUGCAUCCUGGAUAUGGUUUCCUUGCCGAGAAUGCUGGCUUUGUUGAUAUAUGCAAAGAGCAUGGAAUCAACUUUAUUGGGCCCAAUCCUGACAGCAUUCGAGUCAUGGGUGAUAAAUCUACAGCCAGAGAAACUAUGAAGAAAGCAGGCGUCCCAACUGUACCUGGAAGUGAUGGACUGUUACAGUCCACCGAGGAGGCUGUCAAGCUUGCACAUGAAAUUGGUUUCCCUGUGAUGAUCAAGGCGACUGCCGGUGGUGGAGGGCGUGGAAUGCGUCUGGCUUACGAACCUGAACAGUUUGUAAAGUUGCUCCAGCAAGCGAAAAGUGAGGCAGCUGCAGCAUUUGGAAAUGAUGGGGUUUACCUGGAGAAAUACAUCCAGAAUCCAAGGCACAUUGAGUUCCAGGUUCUUGCAGACAAGUAUGGAAAUGUUGUUCAUUUUGGGGAGCGUGAUUGCAGUAUUCAGAGAAGGAAUCAGAAGCUCCUAGAAGAAGCUCCAUCACCUGCAUUGACCCCUGAACUACGCAAAGCUAUGGGUGAUGCUGCUGUAGCAGCUGCUGCAUCUAUAGGCUACAUUGGUGUUGGAACUGUGGAAUUUCUCUUGGAUGAAAGAGGUUCCUUCUACUUCAUGGAAAUGAACACCAGGAUCCAGGUAGAGCACCCAGUCACUGAAAUGAUUUCUUCAACUGAUUUGAUUGAAGAACAAAUUCGAGUUGCUCUUGGAGAGAGACUGACAUACAAGCAGGAAGACAUUGUUCUUAGGGGACAUUCAAUUGAGUGCCGUAUUAAUGCAGAGGAUGCCUUCAAAGGAUUUCGACCGGGGCCAGGAAAGAUCACAUCAUACUUGCCAUCUGGAGGUCCAUUUGUGAGAAUGGAUAGUCAUGUUUAUCCAGGCUAUGUGGUUCCUCCAAGCUAUGACUCCUUGCUAGGAAAGGAAUUCCGACAACCAUUGAAUACCAUAAGCUAAUUCUUGAUAUUGAGGACUUCAGAAAUGGAAAAGUAGAUACUGCCUUCAUACCCAAGCAUGAGAAGGAUUUGACAGCACCCCAUAAACUAGUCUUGUCAACAUCGGAGAAAGAGCUUGCUGGCGUGGGUGCCUAAACUUUAUAUCAUGUGCUGCAGUCACCAUGGCAUGUCAAUCUCUACAACAUUCGUUGCUUAUCAACGGAAGACUUUGACUUGAGAAUAACCAUAGCCUGCACCAAUCUCUCUCUCAUCUGAUUACCUGGAAUAUUUCUUUCAGUUUGUCUAGGCACUAGGCAGCGAAGCUUAUGACUGGAAAUUGUAUUGAGUGAGAAGCAUAGCUUCUGUUUGGAAACGACUUAGGAUGUACGUAUAGCUGGGGGUGGAUGUGCUCAUUUAAGUCUGAGCAAUUAUUGAUAUUUAUAGGCUCUGUUCUUUCCCAGUUUAAUGGGCUGUGCUUUUUUCAAGUUUUACUGGCUCUGGAAUUCAGUCAGGACCCGAGAACUGAAUGUUAUGUGGUUCAGAGUUGAAGCUCAA